rnacentral:rRNA from 1 species
GACGAACGCUGGCGGCGUGCUUAACACAUGCAAGUCGAACGGAAAGGCUCCAGCUUGCUGGAGUACUCGAGUGGCGAACGGGUGAGUAACACGUUGGUAAUCUGCCCUGCACUCUGGGAUAAGCCUGGGAAACUGGGUCUAAUACUGGAUAUGACCUUUCUCCUUAUGGGGUUUGGUGGAAAGUUUUUCGGUUUAGGAUGAGCCCGCGGCCUAUCAGCUUGUUGGUGGGGUGAUGGCCUACCAAGGCGACGACGGGUAGCCGGCCUGAGAGGGUGAUCGGGCAAAUGGGGACUGAGAUAAGGCACAGACUCCAACGGGAGGCAGCAGUGGGGAAUAUGGCACAAUGGGCGGAAGCAUGAUGCAGCGACGCCGCGUGAGGGAUGACGGCCUUCGGGUUGUAAACCUCUUUAAGCAGGGACGAAGCGUAAGUGACGGUACCUGCAGAAGAAGCACCGGCUAACUAUGUG